rnacentral:rRNA from 1 species
AUGGACUGCGUACUCUGCAAAGUGUUUGGAAAAUGCAGUGACCCUGCUUGGGGCGCCAUGGCCGGCGGAGAAGAAGGGAAACCCAAGCCGCUCGAGUUGACGCCGACAUGGAUCGUGGCGUCCAUCUGCUCCGCCAUCGUCAUCAUCUCCCUCGUCUUCGAGCGCUUGCUCCACCGCCUAGGCAAGAGGAUGAUGAGGAGCAGUAAGAAGCCGCUGUAUGAGGUCCUCCUCAGGGUGAAGGAGGAGCUCAUGGUGCUGGGAUUCAUAUCGCUGCUGCUCGCCGUGUUCCAGGGGGUCAUGGGGAGGCUGUGCGUGCGACGGAGCGUCAUGGGCCACAUGCUGCCCUGCAAGCCACCUGCGCCGGACGGCGUCGCCGAGACCGCGCACUUCGUUCUGGGCGGGGCCAGGCGGCUUCUGGCCGCUGGAGCCGCCUCCGAUGAUCACUGCCUAAAAAAGGGCAAAGUUCCGGUACUCUCUGUUGAAGCUAUUCAUCAGUUGCACAUAUUUAUCUUCAUCUUGGCGGUCACUCAUUUUGUUCUCAGCGCGUCUACCAUUAUUCUAGGAACUGUGCAGACGAGAAAUUGGCAUCACUGGGAGAGCAAGAUUCAUGCAAAUGGUGAUAAUGCUCCUGAAAUGAUCAAGCAUGUUCAAGAGUUCAAGUUUAUUCAAGACCAUUUUAAAGGUCACAAAAAACGGUGGAGGAUAUUUGGUUGGAUGUGUUCAUUCUUCAAACAAUUCUAUGGAUCGGUCACUGAGGAAGACUACACAACAAUGCGACUUGGUUUCGUCAUGAAACAUUGUAACCCAACAUUCAAUUUUUACAAUUACAUGAUCAGAGCGUUGGAGGUUGAUUUCAAGAAGGUUGUUGGUAUUAGUUGGUACCUCUGGGCAUUGCUCAUGGUAUUCUUGUUGUUGAAUGUUCAAGGUUUGUAUGUCUACAUUUGGAUAUCGUUAGUUCCAUUCAUUAUGCUACUUUUGGUUGGAAGCAAGAUGGAGCACAUCAUUACAGAAUUGGCUUACGAGGUUGCACAAAAGCAUACGGCGAUUCAAGGAGAUUUAGUAGUGGCUCCUUCAGAUGAUUUCUUUUGGUUCCAUCGGCCAAAGUUGGUCCUUUUGUUGAUCCACAUUGUCCUAUUCCAAAACGCAUUUGAGAUUGCACUAUUCUUUUGGCUCUUGGUGACAUAUGGAUUUAAAUCAUGCAUCAUGGGAAAUCGAGCAUAUGCUAUAGCUCGAGUUGUCAUAAGUGUCAUUAGCCAACUCGUUUGUUGUUACAUCACCCUACCGCUUUAUGCCAUCGUCUCUCAUAUGGGGAGUUCUUUCAAAAGAGUUAUGUUUGACGAAAACGUGACUGAAGGCCUUGUCAACUGGGCUGAAAAGGCUAGGAGACGCAGAGGAAUCCCAAGUAGAACACCUGCAGACGUAGGCAACUCGCAAGUUGAUGAGGCAAGUGAUGUUGCAGUUCAAAUAACAAAUGCACAUGCAGACUCAUUGGUGAAGUAA